AGGGUGCGAGCGUUGUCCGGAUUUAUUGGGCGUAAAGAGCUUGUAGGCGGUUUAUCGCGUCGGGAGUGAAAACCCAGGGCUUAACCCUGGGCCUGCUUCCGAUACGGGUAGACUUGAGGAAGGUAGGGGAGAUCGGAAUUCCUGGUGGAGCGGUGGAAUGCGCAGAUAUCAGGAGGAACACCGGUGGCGAAGGCGGAUCUCUGGACCUUUCCUGACGCUGAGAAGCGAAAGCGUGGGGAGCAA
rnacentral:rRNA from 1 species